GACAGAGGGUGCAAACGUUGUUCGGAAUUACUGGGCGUAAAGCGCGUGUAGGCGGCUAUGCAAGUCGGGCGUGAAAUCCCUAGGCUCAACCUAGGAACUGCACUCGAAACUGUUUAUCUUGAGUAUCGGAGAGGAAAGCGGAAUUCCUGGUGUAGAGGUGAAAUUCGUAGAUAUCAGGAGGAACACCAGUGGCGAAGGCGGCUUUCUGGACGGUAACUGACGCUGAGACGCGAAAGCGUGGGGAGCAAACAGG
rnacentral:rRNA from 1 species